CCCUCACUUGCCAAAGGGGAUCUGGGUUCUUAACUUUUGUCCUUAGAAAAAGUAAUAAAGGAAGAGAGGAACUUUAGUAGAAAAAGCCCUUUUUAUCUCUCUCUCUCUCCUCAUAACUUUUACUUUCUCUCUCCUUCAAUCAUAAAGCAAUCGAUUACAAAAUGAUUUACCACUUCUCUCUCUCUCUCACAUCCAUCUUUUCUGUUCUGCCAUGAAAGUCCUGUAUCCUUCUGUCCCUUUAGCAUUUACUACUCUCUUUUCGAGGAAUGGGCCAUCAGGGGACUGUAUCUCAUGUCAACUUCUUAUCCUUGCUAGGAUAUAUAUGUGAGAGUAGAGGAAGCAUAAUCUUUUCUUAGGGGGCUACACGUCGUGUAAUGAAACAUUUGUGUACUACUUCAUGCUUUCUCUGUGUUGCACGUUAAAAAGUUAAUAGUGAUCGCAAACACCAUUUGCC